AUAUCCGCCUAGCUGUGUGUCUGAACUAUUGUGCCGGACCUCCAAUCAACAUCAUUCCUCAACUUUUGGAUAGUAGUAUCAUAGCGCCCGUUUUCCGGCCAGCAGCAGCGCAGCGGACAAUGGAUUGCCGCCGCCAACUUGGAAACGUCGAGUAAAAGUUGAUGUGAACGAAGAAUCUGAUUCAUGGCAGACACUCGUUUGCCGGAUGUGGUUCCGGCUAAAGAUCUGGCGUCAGGCAAGGAAGCAGUCGAACUGAUGUCCGGGAGCAGCGCCGCUCAGCUCAACAGUGAUAGUAGUCAAGUGGAAAUGCCCGAUUGGCACAUGACGGUUCUCAGUGCUAAUGAGGAUCAUCCGUCAGAUACGCCGAUAGUGCACAUAUGGUCCAGUAGCGACUCGAACGACUCGAACGAUUCGUCUCUGCUGGCCAAGCCGGAGGAAGUUUGCUCCCGUCUGGAGCAUCAGAUUGAGCACCGGAGCGAUAGCCAACUCGGCUCGGAUUCCGGCAUUGACUCUCAGCUGGCGAGUCCCACCGUGAUAGACGGGGGUUACAACAAGUUGCAAGAACAAUCUGCCUUCGUAUUGGACCUGUCGGCGAAUCACUUAUCCGUGCCGAGCCGGAUGAAACUAGGCAGCCUGCGCAGCAGUCUAGAGAAGCACAACCAACAGCAGCAGCAACCAAAGUUGAACGAAGAUGAACCCCCCAUCGUUGAAAAUAUCGUUCACGGAACUGGAGAGCAGAGAAACGAUCCGUCACCAGCUAAUACUAUUCCAACUUCGCCCAGAUUUUUGCCACAGAAAAGGCAUCACCGGAACUUUUUACCAGUGGAUUACAGUCUGGACGGCUGGCAGUCACCACGAUCGGACAAUUUCCUGAAGAUUCGUUCGUUGCCGAGUGAAUGUGAGCAGCAGACGGAGAUGGAAGAGACAAACAGUUUGGCGGUCAGCUGGUCCGAUACUAGCAGCACUCCGAUUACGACAAAUCCCGGCCGUAAACAACAAGCGACAAUUUCGUCACCCAAGAUCUGCGUUCAACGAGAUGCUCACGUCGACCGGAGUUUUCACGAAGGCCAGUCGUCCAUCGUCAGUGAACGCAGUUGCAGUUACGACUCUCAAGAAUCGUCGCACUUUCUGGCCGAUCAGGAAAGCGAUUCCCGAUGUUAUUCUCCUUCACGCAAGCCGAGCUUCGGCUCCAUUUGCAGUGACUCGUGCACAGACAACAACAUGGACUCGCGGACAUCCAUCAAGCCGACACGUUCAUCUCAUCACAAUUCCUUGUCCAGAAGUUCAUCUUCACGAUCGACUUUCCUCUCAGUUCCCACCAGAGUACCUAAUCACCUGUGGCUGACAUCCACUUCCGAUCAGCAUCAAACCGAUCACAACAAGGAGCAGCACGGUCAAUCCUCGGCGAAUUCGCAACUAGGAUCCACGUCGUCGCUGAUGGCAUCGCACUUCAGCCUAUCAAACCCGUACCUGCGGCUGUGCCUGAACGAAGGCGGAAUCAACGACGCCCUGCUGCUAAGCCUUGCUGGAGACGAAACGAACCACCACGCCGUUCUCGACAUGUUUGACGAUCCUUAUUACGAUUCGGCAACCGCUGCCGCCGUCCAGUUAUCACUCACCCAACGGCUGGCCUUCCCUCAGCUUUUGGUAGACAAUGAUCCAGAAUCGGACAAACAAAACAAUCGCCAUCAGCAACGCAACCAACUCCCUAGAGAAGAGGGAAGCCUCAAUUUCUUCGCCAAAAUCAUCACCUUCCUGGUUCUCGUGUUCGUCAUCGUCCUAGUGGUAGGUGUCCUCGUCAAAAUAUCGCACACACCUCGAUAGCUGAACGCCAACCAAUCGAUUCUUCUUUCAAUCUUUUUUUUUGCGAAAAACUUGAGGACGGGAAUAAGAGAAGCUGCAGCCGUUUCCAGUCAACAUGACGUCAAUUCACUUCUUCUUCGGCUUUCACGGGUUUGAUUCGAUUUUGCCGAGCGACGACGAGCGUCAGUGCGUUUCUCAUUCAACUGACUGUCAUAAGAACGAAUUAUGCACCGCUCGCUGGAACUUUCUCGCAAUAUACUGUUGGUUUUCUGUU
rnacentral:misc_RNA from 1 species